AUGAACGCUGGCGGCGUGCCUCAUACAUGCAAGUCGAGCGAACAGACGAGGAGCUUGCUCCUCUGAUGUUAGCGGCGGACGGGUGAGUAACACGUGGAUAACCUACCUAUAAGACUGGGAUAACUUCGGGAAACCGGAGCUAAUACCGGAUAACAUGUUGAACCGCAUGGUUCAACAGUGAAAGACGGUCUUGCUGUCACUUAUAGAUGGAUCCGCGCCGCAUUAGCUAGUUGGUAAGGUAACGGCUUACCAAGGCAACGAUGCGUAGCCGACCUGAGAGGGUGAUCGGCCACACUGGAACUGAGACACGGUCCAGACUCCUACGGGAGGCAGCAGUAGGGAAUCUUCCGCAAUGGGCGAAAGCCUGACGGAGCAACGCCGCGUGAGUGAAGAAGGUCUUCGGAUCGUAAAACUCUGUUAUUAGGGAAGAACAAAUGUGUAAGUAACUAUGCACGUCUUGACGGUACCUAAUCAGAAAGCCACGGCUAACUACGUG
rnacentral:rRNA from 1 species